GGUUGGUUAGCUCAGAUGGUUAGAGCGUGGUGCUAAUAAGGCCAAGGUCAUGGGUUCGAUCCCCAUACUGGCCA
rnacentral:tRNA from 1 species